rnacentral:lncRNA from 1 species
GACCAGUGUCCUGGAAAUGAAAGGUCACUGUGACCAAAUGUGAGGAUCUGAGCACAGACUGCUGUCGGGAGCAGAGAAACGCCCUGCCUUGAGUGUGGGGCAGGAAUGCCUAUGUGAGAGGUUAACCAGAUAUAGGACUCCUCUGUCUUGCUACGAUGGACAGCCACAAGGAUUCACUUGAAUAAAAGAAGCAACAGUGGGUGCCAGGCUGUUUGUGCUGUGGAUUGAAUGGCGGGCCUUGCACAGAAAUGUGCUGUUUUGUUAUACAUUUAUUACAAAGAAUCUCACAAAAAGAAAAUAUUUCAAAAAGAAUGCCAGGCUAAAGAACCUCCACCUGGAGAACUGGGGGAAGGCAGGGCAAUAAUAUCAACGUCAACAUACAGCACCCUCUGGCCAUACUUUAGCAGUUCCAGGAUGGCCAAGACGACAUCGUUGAUGUAACAGAAACCUGAGGCGUCAGACUUCUUUACAUGAUGCAGUCCCCCAGCCUGGCUCGCAGUGAUGUCCCUCUGAUGUGUAUCAAGUUUCACAGCACUUUCCAAAGAGCCACCAAUAGACAACUGACAACUCAGACAGGCCAUCGAUUACCGGGAAGUCCUCACCAACGCGGAAUCUCUGCAUCUGCUUGCUGUAUUUAGACACAUUAUCUGGGCGAAUAGAGCACAAGAGUUUAAUGUAGUCAUCACUGUGGGACUUGGUCAUCUCCUCAGCGUUGGCUCUGUGAGGACGAUAGAUUUCCAUUUUUUGGUAGAGAUGUAGUUGAGCUGCAAAUCACGAGUCAUGUGGAUUCGGUGAGGCUUCAUUGGGUGGCCCUGUCCAUAAGAUAGUUUCCAACAUCCCUGUUAACAGACGUUCCUCUUGCCCUGAGUCUGUGCCAUCUUUCUCACCACCCAGUGCUCCUGCCAGUCUGAUGUUUUAAUAUUUUUAGAUGGUGAUGCUUUGAGUUUAAAUGGCCUUUGACAAAUUCUAUCCUAAUUUCUAAUUAAGACAAGGAAAGAAAACAAAGAUGGAUAAGGACCAUAAAGUAAUGAAUGGACUGGAAACAGAAGUAAACUUAUUCAA